CUCCAGAUGCUACUGGACUGCAACUCUCAUUAUCCCUGAUCAAUGGCCAUGCUUACUGUGGCUGUUAGGAGUUGCAGUUCAGCAGCAUCUGGAG